AUGACCAACAUGUACAAUAUGCCGUUCGCGCCCUUCAUAGGAAUAAACCGACAUGGCCAAUCUUUCAUGCUGGGUUGCGCGUUUGUGAGGCAGGAGUUGGCAUCGAGCUUUGAUUGGGUCUUUGGAGCAUUCCUAGAGGCUAUGGAUGGCAAACCUCCUAACAACUUCAUCACCGAUCGGGAUGGUGCAAUGAGGCAGUCAAUACAGAGCAUCUUUCCAACCACCGUGCACCGCUGUUGUCGAUGGCACAUCAUGAAAAAGGCUCAGGAAAAAGUUGGUUGGCUGCUGUGCUGGAAUCCAGGACUCUCUGAUGAUUUCAACAAGUGUGUUGAAUUCAGCUUCACUAUAGACGAGUUUGAGUAG
rnacentral:rRNA from 1 species